GACGAACGCUGGCGGCGUGCCUAAUACAUGCAAGUCGAGCGCGGGAAGCAGACAGAAGCCUUCGGGCGGACGUCUGUGGAACGAGCGGCGGAUGGGUGAGUAACACGUGGGCAACCUGCCUGUAAGCUCGGGAUAACUAACGGAAACGUUAGCUAAUACCGGAUGAAGCUUCGUACCGCAUGGUACGAAGAUGAAAGGCGGCAUUUGCUGUCAANNACAGAUGGGCCCGCGGCGCAUUAGCUAGUUGGUGGGGUAAAGGCUCACCAAGGCAACGAUNCGUAANANACCUGAGAGGGUGAUCGGCCACACUGGGACUGAGACACGGCCCAGACUCCUACGGGAGGCAGCAGUAGGGAAUAUUCCGCAAUGGACGCAAGUCUGACGGAGCGACGCCGCGUGAGUGAUGAAGGUCUUCGGAUCGUAAAACUCUGUUGUUAGGGAAGAACAAGUAUCGGAGUAAUAUGCCGGUACCUUGACGGUACCUAACCAGAAAGCCCCGGCUAACUACGUGCCAGCAGCCGCGGUAAUACGUAGGGGGCAAGCGUUGUCCGGAAUUAUUGGGCGUAAAGGGCGCNCAGGCGGUUAUCUAAGUCUGAUGUGAAAUCUUGUGGCUUAACCACAAGCGGUCAUUGGAAACUGGAUAACUUGAGUGCAGAAGAGGAGAGUGGAAUUCCACGUGUAGCGGUGAAAUGCGUAGAGAUGUGGAGGAACACCAGUGGCGAAGGCGGCUCUCUGGUCUGUAACUGACGCUGAGGCGCGAAAGCGUGGGGAGCGAACAGGAUUAGAUACCCUGGUAGUCCACGCCGUAAACGAUGAGUGCUAGGUGUUAGGGGGUUUCCGCCCCUUAGUGCUGGAGUUAACGCAUUAAGCACUCCGCCUGGGGAGUACGGCCGCAAGGCUGAAACUCAAAAGAAUUGACGGGGGCCGCACAAGCGGUGGAGCAUGUGGUUUAUUCGAAGCUNGCGAAAAACUUACAGGUCUUGACAUCCGGUGACGCUCUAAAANAAGCUUUCCUNCGGGACACGUGACAGUGGGCNUGCUGUC
rnacentral:rRNA from 1 species